CCUGACAUCGUAAACAACACAAAGGUUUGUGCCUGGCUUAGAUGGAAAAGGAUGAAAACUUCAUCAUCGCUAAGCUAGAUGACUUAGUAACACAAGAACUGGCGCCACGCCUGCCACUGUUGUCCUAUCCUAACAUAUACUGCACGACUUGAAAUCAAGGUCUUUUAGGUUCAUCUUUGGUCGACGGAGAUACGUUUUAUCUACAAAACACCAGCUAAAUUAGAUUGAUUUAUUUCGUAUCUUAUCCUCGACAACUUUUUUUCCACGCCUUCACUCUUCCCUACGUAAACACACAACUAUGUUGGUGCAAAUCAGUGUACAGAGUUUUAUCAAUAGGUCCCUUGCGGUUAACUUUAAGCAGUGCAUCGAUCUUCAUGUUCCAGUAACUAAGGAAAUGUCGUGAUGAAUCAAAGCCACGUAUUCCAGUGAUUUGUUUCUGUUGUAGGUAUACAAGAGGUGUGCUCACUUAGCGACAGACAAGGGGAAGUAAUUGACACGAGGACUAACUCUUUUCCUUGUUUUGACAAGAGGUAACACAGAGCAUGAAACACAGACAUUGAAGACAUACAAAAUUAGGUGAACAUUAAAUCUAACCUGACUGCUUCCCCUUCCCAUAUACACACAUUUGUAUUCUUGUUGUUGGUCAUCUAGUGUUAACCCCCUCCUUUACUUGGCUGAACGCUAGCACUCGACACAUUGAAAACCCACCUCACUUAUGUUAUUGGACAAUUUACUGUACAGAAAUGUCUUGGAUUGGGGAUGCAAAUGUUCUCAUCCUAGAGGAGGUCAAACGUAGGUAGCUGUCAAUCUAAAUUAUUAAAACUGGAAGAUCUGUAAGGUGAAUGAAGAAGAAGCUAGACCUAGACCUAGUACCAGUACUAGAAACUGAAUACAAACAUGACCAGUUAGGAUUCAAGUGACGUCAGCACUUUCAACUCAGGGCCCGCCACUAUGUUCACGUCUUUGUUCAAAUAGCAAAAAGUUUAUAAAAAAUAUAUUUUAAAAAAUCAGUGUGGCUUUAAAAAAAUACCCCCCCCCCCUUUUUUUUUUCCCCCUUAUAUUUUUAAAAUGUAUUUCCCCCUUCUCCCCUGAGUUUCCCUACUCUUUGUUAAGUGU